rnacentral:rRNA from 1 species
GACGAACGCUGGCGGCGUGCCUAAUACAUGCAAGUCGAACGCAGUGGGGACGGGUGAGUAACCCGUUUGUAACCUCCCAUCAGAGGGGAUAACCCUUGGACACAGGUGCUAAACCGAUCCUGAUGGAUGGACCCGCGGUGCAUUAGCUCGUUGGUGAGGUCACGGCUCACCAAGGCCACGCUGCAUAGCCGACCGGGGAGGGUGAUCGGCGACACUGGGACGGAGACACGGCCCAGACUCCUACGGGAGGCAGCAGUAGGGAAUCUUCGGCAAUGGACGAAAGUCUGACCGAGCAACGCCGCGUGAGUGAAGAAGGUUUUCGGAUCGUAAAACUCUGUUGUUAGAGAAGCGGUAUCUAACCAGAAAGCCACGGCUAACUACGGGCCAGCAGCCGCGGUAAUAC